GACGAACCGUGCGAACGUUGUUCGGAAUCACUGGGCUUAAAGGGCGCGUAGGCGGGCGGGCAAGUCUGCGGUGAAAGCCUCCAGCUCAACUGGAGAAGUGCCGUGGAUACUGCUCAUCUUGAGGAGGGUAGGGGCGUCUGGAACGUUGGGUGGAGCGGUGAAAUGCGUUGAUAUCCAACGGAACUCCGGUGGCGAAGGCGAGGCGCUGGACCCUUUCUGACGCUGAUGCGCGAAAGCCAGAGGAGCGAACGGG
rnacentral:rRNA from 1 species